AUACCAGCUACGGCAGUACAUAUUCUAAAAUUAGAACAAUAGAGAGAUUAGAACGGCCCCUGUGCAACAAUGACAUGAACAUUUAUGAAGCAUAAUGCGUAUAU